rnacentral:rRNA from 1 species
CUGCAGGAAGGACUAUUGU